CGGGAGGCACCGUGUGGUGGCUGUGCCAGGGCCCGGCGCGGCUCUGCAGGCCCCCAGAGCUCCUCGCAAUGCAGCUCCGUCCUGCAGAGCGGAGCCCGCGGUAUCCUCCUUGUCCUCGGCUGUCUCCCCUCGGUGGUGCGUGCCGUGAGUCACGAGGAGCCUGGUGCCGCUCCAAACGCGUGUCAGCCCCGGCCUAGUGAGAGGUUCAUAGCAGGCACAGGCAAAUGGGUGGAGUUGGUAGCUGUCUGAAGUAGCCAAGAUCUUCAGUUGAUAUCGUUAAUUAUCAUGUGAUGGUGCCAAAGUUUGCGAGGCUCCGUGCAGCACAGAACAAAAUGACAUAUUCCCUGCCCCAAGGAGUUUACAAUCUAAAGUGGAUCUGACAACACGAGGGUGUGACAGGACACCACGAGGCUGCAGCAACAGGAUCAUGCUGUUGAGGUCUCAACUUACUCCAGCACUACAGAUGAGAGAAAGCGACAGCUCCAGAGGCCUCUUGGGAUGGCAGGAUGGAUCUGACAAAGCAAGGUGUGACAGAAUGCCACAAGGUUGCAGCAACAGAAUCCUAGGAUCCAGUGACCAGAUAAAGGUCUUUCCAACACAUGUUUUACUGAACGUGCAAGACAAACCUCUGGCAUGAACAAUGAAGGCAUAUUUCUCCUGCUUUAAAGCAAAGUAUUG
rnacentral:lncRNA from 1 species